rnacentral:lncRNA from 1 species
AUGCUGCCUCUCUUCCAUCAUCACUGCCUAUAUACUAGCUCGCCGCCUCUAAUCAUGGCCAUAUUCAUGCUGAACUCAAAAAAUCACCCAACUGAUAAGGCUAGCGCGCCCCCUCCCAGACUCAGCACCCCUUCCCACGAAGCAAUUCCUGUAAUACCAGCACCCGCCACUAGGUGCCGUAGGACUCAACAUUUAAUCUUGGCGCAGACACUGAGCAUCCAUCCAUCCAAUGGCACAAAAUUUCAUGCUUCGUUCUGGAGACAUAAAGAUAAAUCAGACACAAAUGGCCCCUCUUUAAAACGCUCAGAGACCAGGAGGGGUGACAGGUCCAGAAACGUAGGGAACUGUAAUGUGUGGGCGCUCAGUUAUGACAGCACAGACCAGGAAGAGGUGACGAUCAGGAUGAACAGGAGUCUGGAGGAGGCAGAAGAGGUCCUUCCAGCCUAGGUCACAACACAGGUAUGGACAUCUGAAGCCACAGAAGUGGCAGACACUCGAAAGGAAAAAAAAAAAAAAACCAUAACGGUGAUCUGAUGUCAAGAAGACUAAGUGGGAGUCAGUCAAAUGUGGAAACUGAAACCACAGGGAUUUGCAACUAUCUGAAUUCAUAUGACUUUGCUCACUGUCUAUCAGGGAUCUCCACUGCUAGAAAGCCAGUUCUGCCUGAGCAGAGUCUUUGUCAGUGGGGCUGACCCCUUUAAUUCCUGACAUUUAGAAGGUACUUAAAUAUUUUUAAUGAAUGACAGAACUGGUAAGAUUUCACUAAGAUGCAGUAUAUCCCAUCAAAAACGCUCACCUGGUUAACAAGCCAUUAAAACUGCUCAGCAAAGAAGGCUCUUUAUCCACAAAGACCCAUGGAUGGAAUCACACNNNNNNNNNNNNNNNNNNNNNNNNNNNNNNNNNNNNNNNNNNNNNNNNNNNNNNNNNNNNNNNNNNNNNNNNNNNNNNAGAUCGGAGGGAAUAUGUAGGAGGGUAGAAAGCAUAUGAGGAAAGACCCUGUGAAUAAUAAAACAACUGAAUAUUUGUGAUUCAAACUCUAAUUAGUAAAUCUUCUGAAAGUCAGGACUCCAAUUCACUCCAAACAUACAUUGCAUUUGUAGCUUCAGUUACAACCAGUGCCAGCUGUUUUCCAUUGCACGCUGGCCUCUCCAGAGCAAGCAUGGCCUAGGGGCCAGCAGACAAUGGUGCUGAGCAGGGCAGGUAGGAAGGACCUCGAUGAUGUGGGAAAGGGAGGGGCUUUAAAGUCACACCAGGAAUUGCAUCUCAGCUCUGGCCACAUCAAGGCUGUUGUGUGUGUGGCCUUUGGCAAUUGACUCCUUCACCCUAUACUUUCGGGUCUUCACCUGGAAGCAGAGAAUCCUCUACUUUGCAGGGGUUGCUAUUGAGGAAGGAAUAAAACAAGCCACACAAAUUUCCUUGGCAAAGAAUGAAUUGUAGCAACUGACCAGCAGUCUUGUUUUUGACCAGUGCUUGGCCAAGUGAUAGUGCCAGGCUAAUGACACCAGAAUCGCCGGAGAAAGCCUUCCCCCAUAUCAGGUCUUCGGAGUAUCUGAGAUGGAGGCACCAGCAGUCUCCCAAGCUUCUCCGGUGAUCCUGAUGCUCAACUAACAGCGGACCACUACAGUUAUACUGCUGCUGCUGCUGCUGAGUCGCUUCACUCGUGUCCGACUCUGUGCCACCCCAUAGACGGCAGCCCACCAGGNNNNCCCGUCCCUGGGAUUCUCCAGGCAAGAACGCUGGAGUGGGUUGCCAUUUAUACCAAAGCACCACUAAAACCAGCAUCACAAGCAGCAAGAAGCCUGAAACAUCAUGCCCGCCACCCCUAAAUGCCCAGCCCUCAAAGCCCUAUUCAGGGAAAGACCUUGUAGGAGAGGUAAUCAAACCCUGCUUGUGAUACAGUCUAAAUAUUUAUGCCG